GCCUCCUCCACAUCUCCUGAUGUACUGGCCUGUCUCCUGGUAGCGCCUCCAUGCUCUGGACACUACGCUGACAGACACAGCAAACCUUCUUGGCACAGCUCGCAUUGAUGUGCCAUCCUGGAUGAGCUGCACUACCUGAGCCACUUGUGUGGGUUGUAGACUCCGUCUCAUGCUACCACUAGAGUGAAAGCACCGCCAGCAUUCAAAAGGGACCAAAACAUCAGCCAGGAAGCAUAGGAACUGACAAGUGGUCUGUGGUCACCACCUGCAGAACCACUCC